rnacentral:rRNA from 1 species
AGAGUUUGAUCCUGGCUCAGGAUGAACGCUAGCUACAGGCUUAACACAUGCAAGUCGAGGGGCAUCAGGGUAGCAAUACCGCUGGCGACCGGCGCACGGGUGAGUAACACGUAUCCAACCUACCGUUAACUCGGGGAUAGCCUUUCGAAAGAAAGAUUAAUACCCGAUAGUAUAUUUUCUUCGCAUGUUGAAAAUAUUAAAGAAUUUCGGUUAUCGAUGGGGAUGCGUUCCAUUAGGCAGUUGGCGGGGUAACGGCCCACCAAACCUACGAUGGAUAGGGGUUCUGAGAGGAAGGUCCCCCACACCGGAACUGAGACACGGUCCAGACUCCUACGGGAGGCAGCAGUGGGGAAUUUUGGACAAUGGGCGCAAGCCUGAUCCAGCAAUGCCGCGUGCAGGAUGAAGGCCUUCGGGUUGUAAACUGCUUUUGUACGGAGCGAAACGGCUCUCUUUAAUACAGGGGGCUAAUGACGGUACCGUAAGAAUAAGCACCGGCUAACUACGUGCCAGCAGCCGCGGUAAUACGUAGGGUGCGAGCGUUAAUCGGAAUUACUGGGCGUAAAGCGUGCGCAGGCGGUGAUGUAAGACAGAUGUGAAAUCCCCGGGCUUAACCUGGGACCUGCAUUUGUGACUGCAUUGCUAGAGUACGGUAGAGGGGGAUGGAAUUCCGCGUGUAGCAGUGAAAUGCGUAGAUAUGCGGAGGAACACCGAUGGCGAAGGCAAUCCCCUGGACCUGUACUGACGCUCAUGCACGAAAGCGUGGGGAGCAAACAGGAUUAGAUACCCUGGUAGUCC